rnacentral:tRNA from 1 species
UCCGUUGUGGUGUAAUGGUUAGCAUCAGUCGCUCUCACCGACUAGAUCGGGGUUCAAUUCACAACUAAA